rnacentral:rRNA from 1 species
UACGUAGGGGGCAAGCGUUAUCCGGAUUUACUGGGUGUAAAGGGAGCGUAGACGGCCAGGCAAGUCUGAUGUGAAAGGCAGGGGCUCAACCCCUGGACUGCAUUGGAAACUGUCAGGCUGGAGUGCCGGAGAGGUAAGCGGAAUUCCUAGUGUAGCGGUGAAAUGCGUAGAUAUUAGGAGGAACACCAGUGGCGAAGGCGGCUCACUGGACGGUAAAUGACGCUGAGGUUCGAAAGCGUGGGUAGCAAACAGG